rnacentral:rRNA from 1 species
GAUGAACGCUGGCGGCGUGCCUAAUACAUGCAAGUCGAGCGGUAAGGCCUCUUCGGAGGUACACGAGCGGCGGACGGCUGAGUAACGCGUAGGAACGUACCCCAAAGUGAGGGAUAAGCACCAGAAAUGGUGUCUAAUACCGCAUGUGAUCCAAGGAUUAAAGCUUCGGCGCUUUGGGAACGGCCUGCGUUCGAUUAGCUAGUUGGUGAGGUAAAAGCUUACCAAGACGACGAUCGAUAGCUGGUCUGAGAGGAUGAUCAGCCAGACUGGGACUGAGACACGGCCCAGACUCCUACGGGAGGCAGCAGUAGGGAAUUUUCCACAAUGGGCGAAAGCCUGAUGGAGCAACGCCGCGUGCAGGAUGAAUGCCUUCGGGUUGUAAACUGCUUUUAUAUGUGACGAUUAUGACGGUAGCAUAUGAAUAAGGAUCGGCUAACUCCGUGCCAGCAGCCGCAGUAA